rnacentral:rRNA from 1 species
UACGAAGGGGGCUAGCGUUGUUCGGAAUUACUGGGCGUAAAGGGUGCGUAGGUGGUUAUGUAAGUCAGAAGUGAAAGCCCUGGGCUCAACCCGGGAAUUGCUUUUGAAACUAUUUAGCUAGAGUUCGAGAGAGGUAAGUGGAAUAUCCAGUGUAGAGGUAAAAUUCGUAGAUAUUGGAUGGAACACCAGUGGCGAAGGCGGCUUACUGGCUCGAUACUGACACUGAGGCA